AUCUGAACCACCUUGAACUGUCCGCGUCUUAAAUAGCACCUCUGACAAGCUAUUGGCUGCUGACCCCCGGGCGGGGGAAUGGAAAACUCUGUGUAAAGUGAAUCAUUACACUGCUUUAUGAGAAGAGGACGCAGGCAGCUUGGCUCGGGGGCCCCUUUUCACUGACCUGCUGUUGCUAUGACAUCAGAGAGCAGAUAAGAGAGAGGGACUGCAGAGGAGACACAAACCUGCAUCAAGCAGCGUCAUCUCCAAAGUAUGCUGAAAGUAUCAGUCAGGUUUGGAGCAUCUGAAGCCGCCCCUGAUUAGGACGGACAGACGGACAGACAGACAGACAGACAGACGUCACGACCUCUGACACUAUAUAGGUGGACCCAAAUGCACGACUCUGGCACAGACGAAGUUGUAGAAAAAAUUCUAUUUAUUUUUUAA